AUUGAACGCUGGCGGCAGGCCUAACACAUGCAAGUCGAGCGGUAGAGAGGUGCUUGCACCUCUUGAGAGCGGCGGACGGGUGAGUAAUGCCUAGGAAUCUGCCUGGUAGUGGGGGAUAACGUCCGGAAACGGACGCUAAUACCGCAUACGUCCUACGGGAGAAAGCAGGGGACCUUCGGGCCUUGCGCUAUCAGAUGAGCCUAGGUCGGAUUAGCUAGUUGGUGAGGUAAUGGCUCACCAAGGCGACGAUCCGUAACUGGUCUGAGAGGAUGAUCAGUAACACUGGAACUGAGACACGGUCCAGACUCCUACGGGAGGCAGCAGUGGGGAAUAUUGGACAAUGGGCGAAAGCCUGAUCCAGCCAUGCCGCGUGUGUGAAGAAGGUCUUCGGAUUGUAAAGCACUUUAAGUUGGGAGGAAGGGUACUUACCUAAUACGUGAGUAUUUUGACGUUACCGACAGAAUAAGCACCGGCUAACUCUGUGCCAGCCGCCGCAGUAA
rnacentral:rRNA from 1 species